UGCCAGCAGCCGCGGUAAUACGGAGGAUCCAAGCGUUAUCCGGAUUCAUUGGGUUUAAAGGGUCCGUAGGCGGAUUUUUAAGUCAGUGGUGAAAGCCGACAGCUCAACUGUCGAACUGCCAUUGAUACUGGAAAUCUUGAGUACAAAUGAAGUAGGCGGAAUGAGUCAUGUAGCGGUGAAAUGCAUAGAUAUGACUCAGAACACCAAUUGCGAAGGCAGCUUACUAACAUGUAACUGACACUGAGAGACGACAGCUAGGGGAGCAAAUGGGAUUAGAUA
rnacentral:rRNA from 1 species